CGCAGCGGCAACGGCGGGGGCCCGGGGGGCUUCGGGUGCCAACACGGAACUCGCGCGCAAGUCCGCCGGCCGCUCGAGCGGCGCGCGGACUGCCCCAGCGCGGGACGGCCCUCGGCCGCCCGGCCCCGCCCCGCCCGGCCAGGCAUGAUUGGGGGCACGACCGAGGAAAAAUGGAGUUGCACACUGACUGAUCCACAAGAUGACUUCUUAAUGUAUAUACAUUAUUGUCUCUGACUUACACUUGUUCCCCCUCGCACUGUGGGCGAGUCUCAGAACCACUACUCCUGAGGGAUCUUCAAAGUGUCAGUUUUAUCUUCUGGUUUUCCAUGAUGCCUUCGAGCAGGGUCAGAUGGUUCCCUACUGGCUAUAAACGGCUAUAGCAGCCCCAAGCCUCACAUCUUCAUACUCAUGGAAGAGCAAACGUCCUGAGGUUUACCAGAAUUGGAUGAGCUGAAGCCGGGGUUAUAUUCCCAUUUCUGAAACAAUCAGAAGAACUUCAAGAGGGGGAGCAAAUUGAUGCGGCUGGGCCUGGAGUAGGUAAUGAGUUCAACGUAUUCAGUCCAAGCGUGUGGCUGAAAAUCAUAUUUGCACUGCUCCCCGAAUCGUGAAUCAGAAGCUGUUGCCAGCAGAAUGGAAGUUAGAAAAGCAACUAAAAUCGUUCUCUGUGGUCCCUGGAUCAUGGAGCACACAUUCUUGGGACGGUGGGGGAAUCGGAGAAGAAAUAAGCCAACAAAUAAGCAAGAUAGACAUGGUGAUAAAUGCUUUGAUGGUCCUAGAAUAGGAUGUGGUCUCCAAGAAAACAGAUUUAUAUUUGUUUUGCUCUUUCCAAUAUCCCACCUGCCUAAGCCAGUGCCUAGCACACAUCAGCCCAAAGUAAAUGUUUGUUGAGUUGAAUUGCAUGAAAUAAUAAGGAGGGUAAAAUGAUAAUCGUUGCUCUGUAUCAUGCCUCUCUGCUCCCAACCAACUGCUUUCCUUGGGUCUCCCUUGUCAGCGACAUGCCUUGGCUUCUGCUCUCCUUCCCACCUGGGACCUACUCCUUUCCCCCACUGUGUGUCCAGGUCCUACACAUUGUUCCCAACUUUGUCAAAAUUCCAUCUUCUUCAGGUGCCUUCCAUGACAUACCUGCUGCUCUUUAACUUCCUCCUGACCAUCCUCUGCUCCACCAUGGCAUUUAUCAGCAAUGUGCCCUUUAGCCCUAGGUUUUAUUAGACUUGGUAAUUUGCCAAAUGUUCUUUUAUAACAUUAACUAACACAAUUUUAUCUUUACAUGCCUUAAAAUCCCGAACAGAGCAUGAUCUAUCUGUAGAUAGGCAUUGGUUGUUUUUUCCCUAGCUUAGCCAUUUACUAGGUAUAUAUGAACCUGGGUAAAUGAUUCGCUGCUCUGAGAGUCAAUUUCCUGAUCUGUAACAUGGGGGUUGUACCUCCCUCGUGAGGCUGCUCUGAGUACUGAGGUUAUGUAUGCCACCUCCACAUGGUAGGUACUUGAUAAACAGGGGUGAUGAUGA